UGCAGGCUAACCAUGCAUGUCGAACGGAUCCUUCGGGAUUAGUGGCGGACGGGUGAGUAACACGUGGGAACGUGCCCUUUGGUUCGGAACAACUCAGGGAAACUUGAGCUAAUACCGGAUGUGCCCUUCGGGGGAAAGAUUUAUCGCCAUUGGAGCGGCCCGCGUCUGAUUAGCUAGUUGGUGGGGUAAAGGCCCACCAAGGCGACGAUCAGUAGCUGGUCUGAGAGGAUGAUCAGCCACAUUGGGACUGAGACACGGCCCAAACUCCUACGGGAGGCAGCAGUGGGGAAUCUUGCGCAAUGGGCGAAAGCCUGACGCAGCCAUGCCGCGUGAAUGAUGAAGGUCUUAGGAUUGUCAAAUUCUUUCACCGGGGACGAUAAUGACGGUACCCGGAGAAGAAGCCCCGGCUAACUUCGUGCCAGCAGCCGCGGUAAUACGAAGGGGGCUAGCGUUGCUCGGAAUUACUGGGCG
rnacentral:rRNA from 1 species